rnacentral:rRNA from 1 species
ACGCACGCUGGCGGCGUGCUUAACACAUGCAAGUCGAACGGAAAGGCCCUGCUUUUGUGGGGUGCUCGAGUGGCGAACGGGUGAGUAACACGUGAGUAACCUGCCCUUGACCUUGGGAUAACUUCAGGAAACUGGGGCUAAUACCGGAUAGGAGCUCCUGCUGCAUGGUGGGGGUUGGAAAGUUUCGGCGGUUGGGGAUGGACUCGCGGCUUAUCAGCUUGUUGGUGGGGUAGUGGCUUACCAAGGCUUUGACGGGUAGCCGGCCUGAGAGGGUGACCGGCCACAUUGGGACUGAGAUACGGCCCAGACUCCUACGGGAGGCAGCAGUGGGGAAUAUUGCACAAUGGGCGGAAGCCUGAUGCAGCAACGCCGCGUGCGGGAUGACGGCCUUCGGGUUGUAAACCGCUUUCGCCUGUGACGAAGCGUGAGUGACGGUAAUGGGUAAAGAAGCACCGGCUAACUACGUG